rnacentral:tRNA from 1 species
GGAGAGGUACCCAAGAGGUUGAAGGGGACGGUUUGCUAAAUCGUUAGGUCGGGAAACCGGCGCGGGGGUUCGAAUCCCCCCCUCUCCG